rnacentral:rRNA from 1 species
GACGAACGCUGGCGGCGUGCCUAAUACAUGCAAGUAGAACGCACAGUUUAUACCGUAGCUUGCUACACCAUAGACUGUGAGUUGCGAACGGGUGAGUAACGCGUAGGUAACCUGCCUGGUAGCGGGGGAUAACUAUUGGAAACGAUAGCUAAUACCGCAUAAUAUUGAUUAUUGCAUGAUAAUUGAUUGAAAGAUGCUAUUGCAUCACUACCAGAUGGACCUGCGUUGUAUUAGCUAGUAGGUGAGGUAACGGCUCACCUAGGCGACGAUACAUAGCCGACCUGAGAGGGUGAUCGGCCACACUGGGACUGAGACACGGCCCAGACUCCUACGGGAGGCAGCAGUAGGGAAUCGUCGGCAAUGGACGAAAGUCUGACCGAGCAACGCCGCGUGAGUGAAGAAGGUUUUCGGAUCGUAAAGCUCUGUUGUAAGAGAGGAACGGGUGUGAGAGUGGAAAGUUCACACUGUGACGGUAUCUUACCAGAAAGGGACGGCUAACUACGUG